AUGCACGCUGGCGGCGUGCCUAAUACAUGCCAGUCGAGCGAACAGACGAGGAGCUUGCUCCUCUGACGUUAGCGGCGGACGGGUGAGUAACCCGUGGAUAACCUACCUAUAAGACUGGGAUAACUUCGGGAAACCGGAGCUAAUACCGGAUAAUAUAUUGAACCGCAUGGUUCAAUAGUGAAAGACGGUUUUGCUGUCACUUAUAGAUGGAUCCGCGCCGCAUUAGCUAGUUGGUAAGGUAACGGCUUACCAAGGCAACGAUGCGUAGCCGACCUGAGAGGGUGAUCGGCCACACUGGAACUGAGACACGGUCCAGACUCCUACGGGAGGCAGCAGUAGGGAAUCUUCCGCAAUGGGCGAAAGCCUGACGGAGCAACGCCGCGUGAGUGAUGAAGGUCUUCGGAUCGUAAAACUCUGUUAUUAGGGAAGAACAAAUGUGUAAGUAACUAUGCACGUCUUGACGGUACCUAAUCAGAAAGCCACGGCUAACUACGUG
rnacentral:rRNA from 1 species